CUCAAAUUCAUAUUACUGAUAAAGUGUUAAAACUUAGAUGAGAUGUUGGUGUUUUAUGGCUCACGAAUUCGCAAUAACGGAUACGUAUAGCAGUUCGUGUUAAUGACAUUAAUCCAAACUUAUUGAUGACGUGAUAACAUGGGCGUCGAAUCCAAUAUUAAUCAUGCUGAGGUUUUCUCGACGGGGAAAUGUGUAUAAAUGCAGUUAUAAAAUUAAAAGGGACAAGAUAGUCGACGUGACCCUCAUGUUUCCAUGGCAAUCAGUCAAUUACAUGUUGCGCUUAUGACGCUCACCUGCGGUCAUUCGCGCAGUAUCCAUGAUGAUUUUAAGCGGCAUGAAACACUUCAGUUAACUCCUUUGUACGAAAAUAUCAUGUCGUAGCCCUUCAAAUUAGAAAAGUGAGGAUGAUCUUGUCAAUGCUGAGAUUUUCAUGCAUCAGCAGCCACUACAUCUGGAUCAGAUUGAACAAGAAACAGACAGCAAGGGUUGUCAGAUCAGAAACAGAAUGACACACAAACACAAGAAACUUCACAGGCAGAUCAACAUGCAAUUUAAAGACGUGUGAUAAAAUACAGAGAGGUGAAGUGGUGUGUCUUUCCAGAUCUCCAAAUCAUUCCCCCUUAAAAGAUGAGCCUGAAGAGGAGAUUUGGGAAGAUGCUGUUUCAUAAGUCGCUUUGCCAGAUCACCUGUGGUCGGGAUGUCUGCUAACAAGAUGCCUUGCUGGUCUGAGCGAGUUUAAAGUCUUACACAGACAGUCCAGAAGUUCUGAAGUCCAUCUUCGAUUUCAUUGAUGCUGUCAUCGUAUGAAGUACAGCAUGAGCCAGAAUAGAUGGGUGGUGAUGGCCAUAAGAAGACUGUCAACUAAACCAACAACAAAAUUCAUAUUUGCAGUUUUUCUUGAAUAAAGUUUUUCUAUUCAGAUUAAUAAAAUGACUUUUAAACAUGA